ACAAAGUUAAAAUUCGAAUUCAAAUUCAAAUUCUAUUAGGGGUCUCGAGACAUGGCUUUCAUGUCUAGGGUUAGAAGAAGAAAGAGAAGAAAAAGGAAAUAGAGAGAAAAGAAAAGAGGAUAUUGAAAAGAAAGAAAAUCAUAUGUUAGAUUUUCGUUUGAGAUUUUGACGGAAGUAAUCAAAAUUUUAAGAGAGGUAAUGUUUAUUUCAAAGGGACUUACUUGGACUCCUGCUGAACAACUCCAUCAGCUUCAAGACUGCAUCCACUCCAACCCUUCUUGGCCUCAAGCGCUUUUACUGGCUUUCCAACACUACAUUGUGAAUCUUGGAACUAGUCUUAAUUGCGAAUACAUUUGUGUAUCGAAUGGGUGGUCAUCAUGGAGAUAAAGCCCGGGUCAUUCAAGUGUUGUCAUUUAUGUCGGGCAUUAAUACGCUGCUUCAAACGCUUAUCGGCUCGAGACUUCCCACGGUGAUGGGUGCAUCUUUUGCGUACACCUUACCGUUGUUGUCAAUCAUCAACGAUUAUUCGGACGAGGCCUUCACAUCUGAGCACGAUUUGCCUCUAUUCCAUUGCCGAUAUUUGCCGCCAUAUACUGCAUUUUAUUGGGCAUCGUCGGUGACUGAUAGUUUUGUGUAUCUGAUAUCGUAGUGUUUAUUUAAUUUAGAAUUUCCAUCUUGAUGCCAGCUGCUUCCGGGAUCACAUUCAUCCAAUUUGCGAACAAUAAUUCCAUGAGAAACAUCUAUGUGUUGGGCGUCUCUCUGUUCCUCGGGCUUUCGAUUCCUCAAUACUUUGCAAUGAACACAACUUACGUCGGUCAUGGACCCGUUAGAACAAAUGCUGGAUGGUUCAAUAACAUAUUGAACACAAUCUUCUCGUCACCUGCAACCAAGGCGAUCAUCAUUCGGACAGUGCUUGAUAACACACUAGAAGCAAAGAAUUUGGAGGAUUGAGGAGUUCCAUGGUGGAAACCCUUCCAACACAGCAAGGGAGAUGUUCGAACCGAAGAAUUCUACAGCUACCCUCUCAGAAUAAACGAAUAUAUCCCCACCAGGUUUCUGUGAAACAUCCUACGUUGUGUGUAUUGCACCAGACAUGCCUUAAUUUAUUUACAGAUAACUCUCAGUGUUGGCCAAUGUGCGGUAUUGUAAUCGUCUACAACCAUUGUUAGAACCGAGAUAUUUUAGUAAAAUGAAACAUCUGGUAAAUACAACAUUUUUUUUAUAAAAAAUUGAUAAAUAAACGAAAUGGGUUUCAAUUUCAUCACGAAGUGGGAGCCUGGAUUAAAUU